AGUGAACGCUGGCGGUAGGCCUAACACAUGCAAGUCGAACGGCAGCACAGUAAGAGCUUGCUCUUACGGGUGGCGAGUGGCGGACGGGUGAGGAAUACAUCGGAAUCUACUUUUUCGUGGGGGAUAACGUAGGGAAACUUACGCUAAUACCGCAUACGACCUACGGGUGAAAGCAGGGGAUCUUCGGACCUUGCGCGAUUGAAUGAGCCGAUGUCGGAUUAGCUAGUUGGCGGGGUAAAGGCCCACCAAGGCGACGAUCCGUAGCUGGUCUGAGAGGAUGAUCGGCACCACUGAACUGAGACACGGUCCAGACUCCUACGGGAGGCAGCAGUGGGGAAUAUUGGACAAUGGGCGCAAGCCUGAUCCAGCCAUACCGCGUGGGUGAAGAAGGCCUUCGGGUUGUAAAGCCCUUUUGUUGGGAAAGAAAAGCAGCAGGUUAAUACCCCGCUGUUCUGACGGUACCCAAAGAAUAAGCACCGGCUAACUUCGUG
rnacentral:rRNA from 1 species